rnacentral:rRNA from 1 species
GAUUCUGGCUCAGGAUGAACGCUGGCGGCGUGCCUAACACAUUCAAGUCGAACGAACUGUAGAAAUACAGUGAGUGGCGGACGGGUGAGUAACGCGUAAGCAAUCUGCCUUUGUGUGUGGAAUAACAACCGGAAACAGUUGCUAAUACCGCAUAACGCAUAGGAGUCGCAUGGCUCUUAUGCCAAAGAUUUAUCGCACGAAGAUGAGCUUGCGUCCGAUUAGAUAGUUGGCGGGGUAACGGCCCACCAAGUCUACGAUCGGUAGCCGGACUGAGAGGUUGAACGGCCACAUUGGAACUGAGAUACGGUCCAGACUCCUACGGGAGGCAGCAGUGGGGAAUAUUGGGCAAUGGACGAAAGUCUGAACCCCAGCGACGCCGCGUGAGGGAAGAAGGUCUUCGGAUUGUAAACCUUAGUCAACAGGGACGAAGCAAGUGACGGUACCUGUGGAGGAAGCCACGGCUAACUACGUGCCAGCCGCUGC